UGUCGCCGUCUGGGGGGAGAGGGUGGAGUGGGGGGAGUGGAGGACAGCCCUUUCACCCCCCUCAUAAUUCCUCACACAAUGCUGGGGACGGGAGGUGUGGUAAACGAAAGCGAGCCUCAGAGAAGGUAGCACUCCAAGUUGGCCCUAGGCUAGGCUUUCGACAGAACAGGAAACUGAGGCUCAGAGGACUAGCGGACUGGCCCAGGAGCCUCUGGCCAGGGAGUGCCACGAAGGCAACACCCAGCUGGGGGAGGGGGAAGGAAGAGGGAAGGGCGUGGAUCGUCCCGCGCUUUAAGUUUCCCAACAGCUGAUUGGCUCCCGUGACCGGCCCGAGCUGCCCGGAACUCUGCGAGGGCGAAGGGGAGGGGAGUUAGAAAAUGUGUGUGCGCCUGCGCAGACAGUGGAGCGAGCGGGUACCGCCCACCCUACGCAGAGCCGGCGGGGUCCGGCCCAACCUGGACAAAACCGCUACUCAAAUAGCCAGUUUUCAUGGGUCAGCACCCCAGCAGUUCUGAGGACAGAAGUCCUGAUCUAUAACCUUUCCGCCCAUCUUAGCCCAGUGUCACUGCCCUUCUGUCUGGAGUCCCCAAUUCUUCAAGCUGAAGUUGAUGGUUAGUAUGCAUUGGGAAUAGGAAUUAAUCUGUAAAAGAAAAUGCUUUGGGAUGAGGAAGUCAAGCCUGGAAUGACUGGGUAGGAGGGUAGGGUGGCUGCGAUGACCCAAAAGACAUCUCUGCUGUCGGUUCCUCUUUGAAGUCAGUCCGAAUUAUUGUGACAUAACACACUCCAAAGAAGAAAACACCAUGGUUGGCAAUUUCGGGAAACUCUCAGCUAUCCCACUGAAAUGUGUAGGCUUUUCUAAAUAUGAGUGGUUAAGCAGGAUCGUAGUCAUCCUUCCCAUGAGUCAAGGCCAGCCAUAAGCAAAAAGCCUGACAACGAUCCCUGGGCAAAAACAGCAUCAAGUCGGAAAGGAUGUGACAGAACAGUGAUUCUGGAGGCAGAGCUCCAAGGGGACCUCGAUUCAAAGCCCAGAUCUUUUCAACUGGACUGAUCUCAGGUAAUAGCAAUAAUAAUCUCCAGUGUUUAUAUAUUGCUUUAAGGUUGACAAAAUGCUGUAUGGAUGGGAUCAAAUGAGAAUUUGAUCCUCACAAUGGCCUUUAGGAAGUAGGUAUGACUAUUCUCUCUUUUGACAGAAAAAGAAACUGAGUCUGAGUGAUGUUAAGCGACACAUACAGUCCCACAAGUGGGAAGUAUUGGAGGCAGAUCUGAAUCCAAGUCUCCCUGGACCCAGUUCUGAGGUACCAUGUAGGUACCUCAGGUCACAACCUCUCCAAGCUUCACUUUUCACAUCAAUAAAAGGUGUGUGCCAACACCGCCAACCCCUGCCUCUGGGAACGAUGCUCCUUAAACUUUGAGGCAGGAGGGAAAUCAAUGAUUUCCCCUAGAAUCCUAGCACCUCCAAGUUGGAAGGAACCUCAGAGGCUCCCAGUAAUAAAGCUCAUUCACCUGCAAGAUUAAUUUGAGUCUCUGUAAGUUGCUCUGGGCCCAGAUCAGGAAACCUGAACCUGGAAAUCCCCCAACUUCCUCUAAAAGGAACAGCCUCCUUUCCAUAAACUGGUUUUACCGAGGUCACUGAGAAGGGGGAAAACAUUAAAGCUUUCAUUCUGUUUCUUCUCUUAUUUUUCCAGGUGAGGCAAAGAUGAUCUGCUUUUUAGAUAGCAGCCAUAUGAAAUAUGAGUUAAUAGACAUAUCAAUCAAUAAAUCCUUCAAGAAAUGAGGACAAGGACUGGUAAUCCUAAGGCUCAGCAUCAACACCCUCCCCAUGUUCAACAGAGGUGUCUAGUGCAGAAUAAGAAUAAAGCCGGAUGUUCUUUGCUUUUCCUUGUGAGAUCAUAGAAAGAAGGGGAAAUACCACAUUUCUAAGGCUUUGAGGACCAAGAGCAGGACUCCCCAUCUUGUGAGAAGGGAUAGGUAUUGCUCUAGGACAAGGGCAGUCUGUAGAGGGUGACAGCUGCUCCCCAACCAUCCUGAUGCUUCCUUAUGGUACGGGAUGUUCUGCCAUGGACACGAUCCCAGGUAAGUGGGACCCAGCUGCAGAGGAUUUGUGUAUAUGUAUGCAGACAUGUAUGUAUGUAUGUGUUUGAAGAACUAUCUGCCCAGCAAAAAGCAGCCCAGAUAAUUCUAGGAAAACUAAACACCGGGAGAUGAAAACUUAGGUCACGGGCAGUCUAGGAAAUAAAGGACAAUUUGCACACCAAUAUGUAAUAAACAUGAUGCCCCCUGGUCUUUUUUAGUUAGAUUUUUUUUUUAAUGGAAGCCAUUUGGAAGGGGGAAAGAAAGGAAACUUGGGAGGGACGUGUAGGAGAUUUGCAAAAACUCCAAGCUCUGUAUGUUGCAAAAGCUCUUUCAUCAUCUUUUUGUGUUGCUUAGAAAUAGAAUCCUGUAACAUCCGUAUUCUAGGGAAACUCCACGAUGAUAAAGAGAACCAUAUUUUGUGAACAUUUAGGUAGUAAGUUAAUUUGGGAGUUUAUAAAGACACCUCGCCUCACUGAGUAUUAUCAACAUUAACGCAACGAUUCUAUUUUAAUUGCUUCUAGGACUUCGAAAUGUUUAUUGAUGCAAAUCAGCAAAGAAAGAUCUAUGAACUCCUAAGGCUGUCAGCAGUGAAAUACUGAAGAAAUGGAAAUAUUCAGACAGGGCUGCUUACCCUUCUAGCUCUCUAAUUCAUUGCUCUAUAUCGCAAUCCUGUAUUUUUCCUGUUGAAAUCGUGAGAUAGAUUGUGUUGUGGGGACUCUAACCUAUGCCAUUCUAGCAUUUCCAUUUUCUAGGAAAACGAGAGGCAAUAAGGCAUGGUGCAAAGAGGGUCGGCCUUGUAAUCAAGAAGCCCUGAAUUCGAGUUCUGACCCUGACAUAUACUGGCAGUGUGAAGGAGAGCACAUCAUUUAACCUCUUAGUGAUCCAGGCACCUCUUUGAGACUAUAAUUAGCAGACAAGAUUCUGAUCUGCAGGUGAAGGGAAUCUCCACCCUGGGGGGCCCUUACACUGAUAAACUCACAGACCCCCCCCCAAUAAAAGGAUUCUUCAAACUGUCAUUGAGGCGGCACCCUGUUGGCUCUGAAGCCAUUCCUAUCACCAAGUUCUGAAAGGAUUUUUUAUAUAGGGGAGACUAGAUUGUGUUUUGACAUAGUCUUUGAGGGUUACCUACAUAGAAGCAAGAACAUCAACUUUAGGACAUCAAGAUUUUCCAAUCCGAUUUUAGUUCAUCGUUUUUUUGAGUCUGGGUCUGUACCUCUGUCUGUAUCUCUCUCAGCUUCCUACACCUGUCUCUUCUCUUUCUCCAUCUUUUGCUGCUCUUCCUGUCUCAUUCUCUGCUCUGUCCAUCUCUUUCUCUUUUUUUCUCUUCUUUCUUAUCUGUAUAAGUGUGUAAAUGUUUUUCCACAUCUGUCUCUGUCCAUCUCUCUUCUUUCUCCACCUUUGUCUCUUUUCAUCUUUCUCCAUCUUCAGUUUCUCUCUGCUCUCCAUAUAUAUAGCUCAUUCUCUAUUUCUAGGUUCUCUCCAUGUGUUUCCACCUCUGCUCUUCCACCAUCUCUCUCUGUGCUUUCUCCACCUUUCUCUUCUUUCUGUCUCUCCAUCUCUUGCUCCCCUUCUCUGGUCUCAUUCUCUCCUUUCUCCACUUCUCUGUCUCUGACUCUCUCUGUCUAUGUGAUACAUAGCUUUCCAUGUCUGUCACUUUCUCUCUUUGCUCUGUUUUCUCCACCUCUGUCUCCUCUCUCUCUCUCCAUCUUUCUCUUUCCCCAUCGCUGUUUCUUUCGGCUUUCUCCAUCUCUCUUUCCAUCUCGUGUCUCCUAAACGUCAUCCACUGAAGUCUUCCUCUGCCUCUCCUUUGCAGUGGCACACAAAAUGAGCCGAUCUGCUAAUGCUGACAAAUGGCUUGCUCAAAUGCCCUGCUGGUAGUGAAUAAAGCAUUGGCUUUGGGAUCCCUAGAGCUCAGUGAUGUACUUGGCAAAUAGUAAGGGCUUAAUAAAUGGAGAGCUGGGUUCAAAUCCUAGCCUGGCUGCUUCCGGUAUACGUCACUAAUCUUGACUACGGAGCUUUCUCCCCUGGACUUCCUCCUCCAGAAAAUGAAGGGGUUGGACGAGAUCUGAGGGAUCUUCCACCUCGAACAGUGCUUUAGUCUGAGUAAAUGCCUGUCUUGGAAACUUUCCGCAGGACUUUGAAGGAAAGGACAGCCUGGGGAGAGAGGAAGGCAGCUCCUUGGGCCCUACUUGGGGAAAGUCCACCAGCUGAGCAGCCAGUGCCCCAUUUAACUGUUUUGCUCCAUUCCUAGAAAGGCUAACUGAUCCUUUAGCCAGUCAUUGGGUUUAACAGACAGGAUCUCGCUAAUAGGGUUUUGGUUUUCCUAAAUUACUCAUAUAAUUUGUUGCUUCACAGCUCCAUCUCAACAUGCCUAGAGACUUUAAUUCAAGUUAAGAAAUGCAGAUUUAUUCAAGUAUUCUCCAUCCUGAGUGUAUAAAAAAAAUUUUUUUUUAAAAAGCCAAGAAAUGUACCCCUUGAUAGUAAGGCAACUCAGCAUAUAGGAUGGUCUUAUUUAGAGAAUUUCCACAAGCAAUGCAUAUACUGUGCUUCUUAGAUUGGCACAAGGGAAUUGUGAAUUUCUGCUGCCAUGGCAACAGCAGCAUUCAGGGCCCCAGGCUCUCAUUUAUAAAUUCAAGUCAAGGAGAAGAAAAGGUUUGACAUCUUGAAUUUUUCCUUACAGCCAACUUUUCAAGAACACAUUUUAUAUAUGGAAGGAUACUUGGAGCAAGGGGCUGAAAAGGUGGGGGUGAGGGGAGGAGAGAGAAGGAAAUAGAUUUUUUCCCCCAUCAGCUCUAACCCAACCCCCAGCCACUCACUCAUCUACCACCGUGGGCUUUAAGCAUGGCAGAAAGGAGAGGAAGGGGAAGAGGCAGCAAGGGGGGGAAGCUUAGGGGAGGAGUAAAGAGAUGAAAAAUGAAAGAAAAGCAAACAUAGGUGGGCUUGGCUCAGAAGGAGGGGAAUUGAAGGGAUUGAAAGCGAUUAAAAAAAAAAAAAAACCUUGCUACCCUUCCAUCCCAAUACCCCACCUCCCACCCCCUUCACAAACCCACGGAGCUGUACAGCAAACUGGCCCAGAAGACAGCGGGCCCGGCCUUUGAGAAGCUCAGUGCUCUCCCCAUUUUGAUAAAUAAAUUUUGGCAGAGGGUGGUCAAGGUGUAAAAUCACUGCAUUUAAGGAAUUAGGCAUCCCACAAGGAGAUUUACAUUUUAAUAGGGACUUGGUAGAGAGGGGCAUAAUUGUAAAGGACAUGUUCAUUACUUGGCACUUUGGGAGCAUAUUUCCAGAAAUCUUUGUUUAGCCACAUCAUUCUCCACAUACACGAGACCACUGGCUCUAACAGAAUUUUUUAUAUACAUGCAUACAUACAUAUGUGUAUAUAUGUAUACGUGCCUUCUGUGUGUGUGUACGUAUAUAUUUAAAUUAUUUCUGAAACAAAAAAUCAGGACAGUUCUAAGUUACAUGGAGUACUAUCAUCUUAGGAAUGCUAUUUUCUAAUGGAGGAAUCCAUAUUUUCAUUUGUGAAAAAGAAGGGGUGGAGGAGUAUGUUUCUGUUCACAUUUAGGGCCAGAACAAAGAGACCAGACAAUCCUAACAUCUAAAACGUGAAAGCAUCUUAAAGAGUUUUAUUGGAAUGGUAAAUCAUUGUUUCAAAGCAAAGCUAUUUAUUUCUAUUUAAGCUAAAGAAAAAAAUGAUGGGGGAAAGAGGGAACAAUACCAAUCCUUCCCGAAUCUUCAGCAUUCAUAAUUGAAUCAGAAGCACAACACAGUCAAGCAGCGGCUUUUUCCUUGCCUCUCCUUCCUCUGGAUUCCACCAUCCCUCCAGAGAACCACUGGGGCUUCAGCACUCGAUUCCCAGCUUUCAGCUCUUCAGAAGCAAGUCGCUUCUAUUCCCUCUGGCAUCAGUGGUUCUUAACCCGGGGACAGUGGAUUCCCAAGGGAUACAUGGGUCAAUUUCAAGGACCCUGUGAAUUUGGGUGGGAAAAAGGCAUCUUUUCAUUACUCUCAUUAAAAUUUAGCAUUUCCUCUAAUGAUGAAUUUUUAAAGAAUCAUUCCAAGAAAGGGUCUAUAAGCUUCAGCAGAGUACCUGCAAGGUCCAUGACAUCCAAAGGUAAAAACUCCCUCCUAAAGUCUGAGCCGGAUCUGGAGAGAAGAAGCUGACAUUCCCCCACACCCCCCCCUUGCUUUUUUCCAAUCUGGUGGAAUAAAUCUGUUUCAGAAAAAAAUCGGCUCAAACACCUGAAAUCCAUCUCUUUGGAUUGAUGGUCAACCAACAGAUCUGAUCCCCCAAAAAGUAAUAUGCUGUGAA